UGGAUCUCCUCAAAAUGCCUCCAGAGACCAGGUCCCAAGAUGUGAGAAGGUGUGACGGUUCCUUGGAAGCUGCUAACCAAAGAAUCGAUGGAAUAGAAAUCAAACUGAACACACAGUCGGAUGAUCUUGGCCAACUCAAGGCUAUGAUGAAAGAAAUAGCUACUCAGCAGAUUGCGAUAAAACACACCCUACAAACUCUCACUGGAGAGACU
rnacentral:lncRNA from 1 species